AGAGUUUGAUCCUGGCUCAGAACGAACGCUGGCGGCAUGCCUAACACAUGCAAGUCGAACGAAGCCUUCGGGCUUAGUGGCGCACGGGUGCGUAACGCGUGGGAAUCUGCCCUUGGGUUCGGAAUAACAGUGAGAAAUUACUGCUAAUACCGGAUGAUGUCUUCGGACCAAAGAUUUAUCGCCCAAGGAUGAGCCCGCGUUAGAUUAGCUAGUUGGUGGGGUAAUGGCCUACCAAGGCGACGAUCUAUAGCUGGUCUGAGAGGAUGAUCAGCCACACUGGGACUGAGACACGGCCCAGACUCCUACGGGAGGCAGCAGUGGGGAAUAUUGGACAGUGGGCGAAAGCCUGAUCCAGCAAUGCCGCGUGAGUGAUGAAGGCCUUAGGGUUGUAAAGCUCUUUUACCAGGGAUGAUAAUGACAGUACCUGGAGAAUAAGCUCCGGCUAACUCCGUGCCAGCAGCCGCGGUAAUACGGAGGGAGCUAGCGUUGUUCGGAAUUACUGGGCGUAAAGCGCGCGUAGGCGGUUUUUCAAGUCAGAGGUGAAAGCCCGGGGCUCAACCCCGGAACUGCCUUUGAAACUGGAUGACUAGAAUCUUGGAGAGGCGAGUGGAAUUCCGAGUGUAGAGGUGAAAUUCGUAGAUAUUCGGAAGAACACCAGUGGCGAAGGCGACUCGCUGGACAAGUAUUGACGCUGAGGUGCGAAAGUGUGGGGAGCAAACAGGAUUAGAUACCCUGGUAGUCCACACCGUAAACGAUGAUAACUAGCUGUCCGGGCUCCUGGAGUUUGGUGGCGCAGCUAACGCAUUAAGUUAUCCGCCUGGGGAGUACGGUCGCAAGAUUAAAACUCAAAGGAAUU
rnacentral:rRNA from 1 species